rnacentral:lncRNA from 1 species
CUUUUCUUCUUUUCUCUUCUCUUCUCUUUUUUUUUUUUUCUCUCUCUCUUUCAUUCACAUUAUAGCUUGAGUCAGAACUUCAUUCCUUUUUAAGGCUGAAGGACCACAUUUUGCUUGUUUGUUCAUGCGAUCGAUGAUGAUGGGCACUUAGGUUGUUUCCACUUUUUAGCUAUCGUAAAUACUGUUGCUAAUGAAUAUGGGUGUACAAAUAUUUCUUCAAGAUCUUGCUUUCAAUUCUUUUGGGUAUAUACCCAGAAGUGGAACUGCUGCAUCAUAUGGAAUCCAUUCCCAGGGAAAUUCUCACCACAUAGCACAUGAACACAGGUGCCAGGAUGCAGCUGCGCCUUCCUUUGUGGAGCAAAAACUUGGAAAUAUCCUUAAAAGUGAUUAAGCAAAUCAGAGUAUGAUCUGUGCUCUGGAGUGCAAGA